rnacentral:rRNA from 1 species
AGUGAACGCUGGCGGUAGGCCUAACACAUGCAAGUCGAACGGAAGCACAGUAAGAGCUUGCUCUUACGGGUGGCGAGUGGCGGACGGGUGAGGUAUAUAUCGGAAUCUACUUUUUCGUGGGGGAUAACGUAGGGAAACUUAAGAUAAUACAGCAUACGACCUACGGGUGAAAGCAGGGGAUCUUCGGACCUUGCGCGAUUGAAUGAGCCGAUGUCGGAUUGGCUAGUUGGCGGGGUAAAGGCCAACCCAGGCGACGAUCCGUAGCUGGUCUGAGAGGAGGAUCGGCCACAUGGGAACUUGGACGCGGUCCAUACUCCUACGGUAGGCAGCAGUGUGGAAUGUUAGACAAUAGUCGCAAGCCUUAUCCAGCCAGACCGCGUGUGUGAAAAAAGCCUUCGGGUUGUAAAGCCCGUUUUUUGGGAAAGAACAGCAUCAGGUUAAUACCCCGCUUUUCUGACGGUACCCAGUGAAGAAGCACCGGCUAACUUCGUG